rnacentral:lncRNA from 1 species
CAAAAUUUAUUAGAAGGAGAAAUACUUAUUCAGCAUUAUUUAAGUAUACUUCUAUAUUUUAUUUUGUCUUCCAGAUAUCACAUAUUUUAUAGAACUGAUCUAAGCCAUUGAGAAGACUUAAAAGUCCCAUGGACAUGAGCUUUUGUCUUUACAUUCCUUUUCUUGCUUUUGGAACAUACAUCCAUACUGAAGGGAGCUAAAGCUAGUACAGAGAAAAUUCAGGCCCUGCCAUUUAUACGAAUAUAAACUAAAGGAAUUUUCUUUCUUAAAAUUUGGAAAGCGUGGUCUAGAAGAGCUUAAGAGUUUGAGGAAGCACAACCAAGAAUUAUCUCUUCAGGUUUAUGAAAACUCACUAUUUUCUAUAGAAUAUUUGCAAGAUGGAACGGACAUUGUUUUCAGAAUAUCCGAAAUAAAGAUUUUGUUUGGACUUCCCCAUAUGAAGUUAGCUGGUAUUGCAUGUGAUAAAAAAGUGCCACAUCUGGGGAGAAUCUUCAGAUUUAACUAUUGAAAAGUCAGGAUUGCAUAUAACUCUUACAUAAAAC